AACGAACGCUGGCGGCAUGCCUAACACAUGCAAGUCGAACGAUCCCUUCGGGGAUAGUGGCGCACGGGUGCGUAACGCGUGGGAACCUGCCCUUAGGUUCGGAAUACCUCAGAGAAAUUUGAGCUAAUACCGGAUAAUGUCUUCGGACCAAAGAUUUAUCGCCUUUGGAUGGGCCCGCGUUGGAUUAGCUAGUUGGUGGGGUAAAGGCCUACCAAGGCGACGAUCCAUAGCUGGUCUGAGAGGAUGAUCAGCCACACUGGGACUGAGACACGGCCCAGACUCCUACGGGAGGCAGCAGUGGGGAAUAUUGGACAAUGGGCGGAAGCCUGAUGCAGCAAUGCCGCGAGAGUGAUGAAGGCCUUAGGGUUGUAAAGCUCUUUUACCCGGGAUGAUAAUGACAGUACCGGGAGAAUAAGCCCCGGCUAACUCCGUG
rnacentral:rRNA from 1 species